UUGGCUUACAUUUUCAAAGUCCAUGAUGCACAGGAAAUACAUGAUGUCCACACGAGACGGACCACUGUUCUCCAUGCCCUUCCUGUUUAUCUACGUGAGGAAGUUUCUGAAUUCUUCAGAUCAUGUGUGGACGGUAUGGAUGAACCAGACCUGGGGGAUGCAUCAGUGGCUCUACUUACAGCUG